rnacentral:rRNA from 1 species
AUUGAACGCUGGCGGCAGGCCUAACACAUGCAAGUCGAACGGUAACAGGAAACAGCGUUGCCUGUUUCGCUGACGAGUGGCGGACGGGUGAGUAAUGCCUGGGAAACUGCCUGAUGGAGGGGGAUAACUACUGGAAACGGUAGCUAAUACCGCAUAACGUCGCAAGACCAAAGAGGGGGACCUUCGGGACCUCGUUGCCAUCCGGAUGUGCCCAGAUGGGAUUAGCUAGUAGGUGGGUAACGCUCACCUAGGCGACGAUCCCUAGCUGGUCUGAGAGGAUGACCAGCCACACUGGAACUGAGACACGGUCCAGACUCCUACGGGA